rnacentral:misc_RNA from 1 species
GAGCACCAGUGUGCUGAGCAAACUUCAAAACAGCCCUCUGACCAUAGGGUCUAGCAGAUUGAACAAUGAUAUCUUGAGGAUUCUCUAUACCCACAAUAACUCUUGCAGCCAGCUGAAGUUUCUCCCAUGUUUUACCAAGGUUAAUGAUGUAGAUUCCAUCGUUUCGGCGCUUAAAAACGUAUCGUUCCAUUUGGAAAUCGCAGUUUUUAGUGCCAAGAUGAACCUCGGCGGCCAGCAUCAUCUGAAUGUCGGCCUCCUUCUGAGAGAGUUGACGCGGCGGUGCAGCUCCA